rnacentral:rRNA from 1 species
GAUGAACGCUAGCGAUAGGCUUAACACAUGCCAGUCGAGGGGCAGCAUGGUCUUAGCUUGCUAAGACUGAUGGCGACCGGCGCACGGGUGCGUAACGCGUAUGCAACUUGCCUCACAGAGGGGGAUAACCCGUCGAAAGACGGACUAAUACCGCGUACACUUGGGAUAGGGCAUCCUGACCCAAGGAAAUGAAAUUCGCUGUGAGAUAGGCAUGCGUCCCAUUAGCUAGUUGGUGAGGUAACGGCUCACCAAGGCGACGAUGGGUAGGGGAACUGAGAGGUUGAACCCCCACACUGGUACUGAGACACGGACCAGACUCCUACGGGAGGCAGCAGUGAGGAAGAUUGGUCAAUGGGCGAGAGCCUGAACCAGCCAAGUCGCGUGAAGGAUGACUGUCUUAUGGAUUGUAAACUUCUUUUAGACGGGAAUAACAAGAGCCACGUGUGGCUCCCUGCAUGUACCGUAUGAAUAAGCAUCGGCUAACUCCGUG